GUGCUCGCUUUGGCAGCACAUAUACUAGAACUGGAACAAUACAGAGAAGAGUAACAUGGCCCCUGCACAAGAAUGACACACACAUUCGAGAAGGGAGCUAUCAAUUA
ensembl:snRNA U6 U6 spliceosomal RNA